ACAUGACCGUACCGCAAACCGACACUGGUGCGCGAGAUGAGUAUUCUAAGGCGCUUGAGAGAACUCAGGAGAAGGAACUCGGCAAAUUGACACCGUAACUUCGAAGAAGGUGUGCCUUUAGUAGGUGAACCAUUUACUUGGGGAGCCCAAUGAGGCUGCAAAAAAUCGGUGGCUGCAACUGUUUAUUAAAAACACAGCACUCUGCUAAGACGAAAGUCGACGUAUAGGGUGUGACGCCUGCCCGGUGCUGGAAGAUUAAAUGAUGGGGUGCAAGCUCUUGAUUGAAGUCCCAGUAAACGGCGGCCGUAACGAUAACGGUCCUAAGGUAGCGAAAUUCCUUGUCGGGUAAGUUCCGACCUGCACGAAUGGCGUAAUGAUGGCCACACUGUCUCCUCCUGAGACUCAGCGAAGUUGAAAUGUUUGUGAUGAUGCAAUCUCCCCGCGGAAAGACGGAAAGACCCCAUGAACCUUUACUGUAGCUUUGUAUUGGACUUUGAACAGAUCUGUGUAGGAUAGGUGGGAGGCUUUGAAGUGUGGUCGCUAGAUCGCAUGGAGCCAACGUUGAAAUACCACCCUGGUGUGUUUGAGGUUCUAACCUAGGUCCAUUAUCUGGAUCGGGGACAGUGCAUGGUAGGCAGUUUGACUGGGGCGGUCUCCUCCCAAAGUGUAACGGAGGAGUUCGAAGGUACGCUAGGUACGGUCGGACAUCGUGCUAAUAGUGCAAUGGCAUAAGCGUGCUUAACUGCGAGACUGACAAGUCGAGCAGAUGCGAAAGCAGGACAUAGUGAUCCGGUGGUUCUGUAUGGAAGGGCCAUCGCUCAACGGAUAAAAGGUACUCUGGGGAUAACAGGCUGAUACCGCCCAAGAGUUCAUAUCGACGGCGGUGUUUGGCACCUCGAUGUCGGCUCAUCUCAUCCUGGGGCUGUAGCCGGUCCCAAGGGUAUGGCUGUUCGCCAUUUAAAGAGGUACGUGAGCUGGGUUUAAAACGUCGUGAGACAGUUUGGUCCCUAUCUUCCGUGGGCGCUGCAGAUUUGAGGAAGCCUGCUCCUAGUACGAGAGGACCGGAGUGGACGAACCUCUGGUGUAUCGGUUGUCACGCCAGUGGCAUUGCCGAGUAGCUAAGUUCGGAAGAGAUAACCGCUGAAAGCAUCUAAGCGGGAAACUCGUUUCUAGAUUAGAUCUGCCGGGGCCUUGAGCCCCCUAAAGAGUCGUUCAAGACCAGGACGUUGAUAGGUCAGGUGUGGAAGC
rnacentral:rRNA from 1 species